rfam:Musca domestica strain aabys unplaced genomic scaffold Scaffold954, whole genome shotgun sequence.
GAGCCUGCGGCUUAAUUUGACUCAACACGGGAAAACUUUCCAGGUCCGAACAUAAGUGUGUAAGACAGAUUGAUAGCUCUUUCUCGAACCUAUAGGUGGUGGUGGGCUGUUCUUAGUUCGUGGAGUGAUUUAUCUGGUUAAUUGCGAUAACGGAUUUGCCGAAGCUGGUGCCGAAGCUUUUUCAUUUGCGAUCGCUGUAAAAUGCGUUAGUGGUUGAAUGUUUUUAUAGAAGUGGAGCCGUGCCUGAAUGGAAAUUGUGUCAAGCAAUAACGAGAUUGAGCAAUAACAGAUCUGUGAUGCGAGUUAAGAAAAUAGAAAAAAACACAUAAGUUC